rnacentral:lncRNA from 1 species
CACCCCCUCACCGCCAAAAUUGAUCGUCACUUGAGGUGCAUCGGCUCUAGUCGGCUCUCAGAUUAGGGUUUUUUGGAUAAUCUAUUCUCUCUUGCCUCUUGGUGCUUUACCUUGUUCUAUUCUCUCUUGAGUCUUGGUGCUUCACCGGCCCCGAUCCUCUUCUCCUCCUUCCUCUGUGGCGCUGACCGACCUGCCGAGAAAGAGGUAAUUACUUAUCCUCUUCUCCUCCUUCCUCUGUGGACUGUGGUGCCUAAAAUAUUAUUUUUUUACUAAUCUAUUGCUUGCUCCCCUUCUCGAAAACAAAAGGGGGAGGCUUUAAAAGUUAGUAGAGCUCAUUUCAUCUGCCAAAUAUCACAAAUAAGAGGAUCAUGUGCUUUUGAGGUGGUUGUGCUGCCAUAAAUCCACAAGUUGUGUUUAGUGCAUUUUAGACAUUUACUGUUAUUUCUACAAUUCUACUAAGUUUGUGGUUUUAAUUAGGUUUGUGGUUUUGAAUAGGUAAUUAAAAGUGUGAUGUGUAAUGCCUGAUGCUAUUGGCUUGCUUUUCUUGUUGUUUGCCUCAGACACACUGAACUCAAUCUUAAUUUGUUGAUCAGUGAUCACUGAUCCAUAGUCUCGCUGAUUCCUUUCCUCUUUAUUUUCUCCUCUCUUUAUCUGAUUUGAAGGUUUCAGAAAGUCCUUGUUAUCUUUCCAACCUUAACAACCUGUAAGCCUAGGAACUAAAUAAUAUAUCUUCCAUUCCAGAAGCUGCUCAUAUCUCAUCUGUUUAUAAGACUGUAACAAACAGGGGAUGAUUCAUUGAGAUAGUAAUGACAUGACUAUAUCUCCAACUUUGUCAAUAACAAGAGUUUUAAAUUUUCGUACAUAUCUGAUGCUAUAGGUUAAAUUUGUGAUAUUUAUUUUGUUAUUUGGGCAGAUUAUUUUUACUAAUGUCUCAUUCUAAAGUUGGUGAAAAUGAGA